rnacentral:rRNA from 1 species
UACGUAGGGUGCAAGCGUUGUCCGGAAUUAUUGGGCGUAAAGAGCUUGUAGGCGGUUUGUCGCGUCUGCUGUGAAAUUUCGGGGCUCAACCCCGAACUUGCAGUGGGUACGGGCAGACUAGAGUGUGGUAGGGGGAGACUGGAAUUCCUGGUGUAGCGGUGAAAUGCGCAGAUAUCAGGAGGAACACCGAUGGCGAAGGCGGGUCUCUGGGCAGUAACUGACGCUGAGGAGCGAAAGCGUGGGGAGCGAACAGG